AUACGUAGGGUGCGAGCGUUGUCCGGAAUUACUGGGCGUAAAGAGCUCGUAGGUGGUUUGUCGCGUCGUCUGUGAAAUUCCGGGGCUUAACUCCGGGCGUGCAGGCGAUACGGGCAUAACUUGAGUACUGUAGGGGGGACUGGAAUUCCUGGUGUAGCGGUGAAAUGCGCAGAUAUCAGGAGGAACACCGGUGGCGAAGGCGGGUCUCUGGGCAGUAACUGACGCUGAGGAGCGAAAGCAUGGGUAGCGAACAGGAGUAGAUACCCUGGUAGUCCAUGCCGUAAACGGUGGGCGCUAGGUGUAGGGGUCUUCCACGACUUCUGUGCCGUAGCUAACGCAUUAAGCGCCCCGCCUGGGGAGUACGGCCGCAAGGCUAAAACUCAAAGGAAUUGACGGGG
rnacentral:rRNA from 1 species